rnacentral:rRNA from 1 species
CCUACGGGCGGCUGCAGUGGGGAAUAUUGCACAAUGGGCGCAAGCCUGAUGCAGCCAUGCCGCGUGUGUGAAGAAGGCCUUCGGGUUGUAAAGCACUGUCAGCGGGGGGGGAAGGCGUUAAGGUUAAUAACCUUGUCGAUUGACGUUACCCGCAGAAGAAGCACCGGCUAACUCCGUGCCAGCAGCCGCGGUAAUACGGAGGGUGCAAGCGUUAAUCGGAAUUACUGGGCGUAAAGCGCACGCAGGCGGUCUGUCAAGUCGGAUGUGAAAUCCCCGGGCUCAACCUGGGAACUGCAUUCGAAACUGGCAGGCUAGAGUCUUGUAGAGGGGGGUAGAAUUCCAGGUGUAGCGGUGAAAUGCGUAGAGAUCUGGAGGAAUACCGGUGGCGAAGGCGGCCCCCUGGACAAAGACUGACGCUCAGGUGCGAAAGCGUGGGGAGCAAACAGGAUUAGAUACCCUUGUAGUC